rnacentral:lncRNA from 1 species
GGCGCCCCUCCCCCAGCCUUGCUGCUGCCUUGCAGUUUGAUCUCAGACUGCUGUGCUAGCAAUCAGCGAGACUCCGUGGGCGUAGGACCUCCGAGCCAGGUGCGGGAUGUAAUCUCGUGGUGCACCGUUUUUCUUAAGCCGGUCCGAAAAGCGCAAUAUUCGGUUGGGAGUGACCCGAUUUUCCAGAGAUGAGGUCUCACAAUAUUGCCCAGGCUGGUCUCAAGUCCCUGGACUCAAGUGACCCUCCUGCGUUGACCUCCCAAAGUGCUGUUAUUACAAGCAUGAGCCACGGUGCCCAGCCACCACCAGGGACGGUCAAGUUGGUAUCCAUCGUGAAGCUAAAUGAAUAUCUGGACAGGAGUCAGACAAAGGGAAGGAGAAUCCAGGGGAAGAUGAAGCAGCUGCAGGCCUGUCUGCUACCCUAUAUCCGGGGAAGAGCCAGAAAUUGCUGACCAUAGAGAGUUACAUUGUCCAGCUUUUCCUCCACGAAAUGGAGCAGCAACAAAAGGCCAGAUCAUUCAACCUAUGCUUCCUCAAGUCUGAUAACAUUAGCGUUUCUCUCAGAUAUCAGUUCAAGUAAGGAGUUGCCAAUAGAAGCAAAGAUGCCAGGAAUCAUCGUUUUUAUUUCAGUGUCCUUACGAAGACCUUUGAGCACAAUGGAACGAUGAGGCAACAUUAAAUAUUACUGGAAUGGGGUAUGAAAG